rnacentral:lncRNA from 1 species
AGAGAAAGUCUCCUGCAUCUUGUGCUCCCUUACCACUUUUUGCUUAAUAGAUUUUGUUGUUUCAAAUUCUAAAAGGAAGGAAAUUAAUUCUUAACCAAAUGAUAUUUCUCAAACAGGGUCAGUGCCCUCUCUUGGGGUGCAAAUCCUAUGUAUCUUAUUCCAACGAGUAACUCUGUAGUUAAUCAUUGAUACGGCAAGUUCAGGCUUUUGCUCUUCCUCUUUGAACAUCAGUGGGUGCAUUUUAUUUCUCUCUCUUGCUCUCUCUCUCUUUUUUUUUGUUUUUUUUAAAGCAGGAUUAAGGAAGCCAAACUCUCAGCCUCAUGAAGAAAGAGCUCAUUUAUUGCAACUAAAAUAUCUUUUCUUGGAAGGCCAUGACCUCAGAAAAGUAAGCACUUUACUUUUUCUAAGGUAGCGAAUAUUUCUUCUCUCUUACUUCACACAAGUAUUGAACCAUAUAUUAUUCCUGCUUGAUCCCCUGAUCUGUUCACUCCUGGCUCCUUGUUCCUCUCUCAUUUUCAAGUGAGAGCUUCAAAUUGCACAGGAAUUCCAACUGCCCCAUUCCUUUUACUGUUGACAUUUCUAUGAGCUUCAAGUACUCAACGAGAAUUCUGUUUCUGUGUGUUUACCAACUGAAUUGGCAUGGACAGAAGGGCACAUACCCCACACCAUUUGCAGGAACUAUUUCUUAUGAUCAGUAAUUUUAAAGCAAUGCACCUCCUCGGGCUCUUAAAUAUGUCAUCCCAGGAGCUGCUGCUCCUUUUUUCCCAUCUCCUUCAUCAUCCAUGUGUCAGACAUGCCUCAGGCCUGCUGGGCAUCUGCUGUUUAUCAGUGGGCCCCUCUCCACCCCCAGCCUCCUGGGAAAGCCCUCUGAGGAGUGAAUUAUUGGAAACACAAGCAUUCACAGAGAAUACAAUGCAAAUAUUUUAGUUCCCAGUUUGGCAGAAACAGGUAGUGAACUAACUGAAGGUUUACUCACUGAAGGCUUGUUCAUAGCCAAAAAUAAAAACAAAAAAUAAGUAACUUCUCUGCAUCUGUGGUUACUAAAGUCCUCUGGGAGCUUAAAAAGAUAUCACCAUGUAGUACAGUGUUAUUCACCUAUCCAAGUUCAUAGAAGAUUCCAGUCUCUGCACCAAGUGUUUUCCAUCUAUAACAGGGAUAAAGUUUUAGAGGUGAUGGUAUCAGAAGGUGAAGACUUAGGGAGGUGAUUAGGUCAUGGGCGCAGAUCCACAUGAAUGGGAUUAGUGCCUUUAUAAGUCACUCAAGAGAAAGCCCUCGCCUCUUCUGCCAUGUGAGGACACAGUGAGAACGUACCAAUUAUGAACCAGAAAACAGACCCUCAGCAGACAUGGAAUUUGCUGGUGCCUUCAUCUUGGACUUCCCAGAUUUCAGAAUGGUGAGAAAUAAAUUUUUGUUUUUUAUAAG